GGGUGACGGCGUACCUUUUGUAUAAUGGGUCAGCGACUUAGUUUUGCGAGCGAGCUUAAGCCGUUAGGUGUAGGCGAAGCGAAAGCGAGUCUGAACAGGGCGUUCAGUUCGCAGGACUAGACCCGAAACCGAGUGAUCUAGCCAUGGGCAGGUUGAAGGUGGAGUAACACCCACUGGAGGACCGAACCCACGUCUGUUGAAAAAGACGGGGAUGACCUGUGGUUAGGGGUGAAAGGCCAAUCAAACUCGGAAAUAGCUGGUUCUCCGCGAAAGCUAUUUAGGUAGCGCGUCGUGUGAUUACCUGCGGGGGUAGAGCACUGGAUCGGGACGGGGGGCGCGAGCCUUACCAACUCGAACCAAACUCCGAAUACCGCAGAGUACAGCACGGCAGACAGACUCCGGGUGCUAAGGUCCGGGGUCAAGAGGGAAACAGCCCAGACCACCAGCUAAGGUCCCCAAGUCAUGGCUAAGUGGGAAAGGAUGUGAGACGGCCAAAACAACCAGGAGGUUGGCUUAGAAGCAGCCAUCCUUUAAAGAAAGCGUAACAGCUCACUGGUCUAAUAGCUGUCUUGCGCCGAAGAUGUACCGGGGCUCAAGCCAUGCACCGAAGCUGUGGACGUGUCUCUGACACGUGGUAGCGGAGCGUUCCGUAGGCCUGUGAAGGUGAACCGUGAGGUUUGCUGGAGGUAUCGGAAGUGAGAAUGCUGACAUGAGUAGCGAUAAACAGGGUGAGAAACCCUGUCGCCGAAAGUCCAAGGGUUCCUGCGCAAGGCUAAUCCGCGCAGGGUGAGCCGGCCCCUAAGGCGAGGCCGAAAGGCGUAGCCGAUGGGAACCAGGUUAAUAGUCCUGGGCCUGUGGGAAGUGACGCGCCCCGUAAGUUGUAUGCCCUUAUCGGAUUGGGCGUGCAGCGAAGGGGGGCCUGGAAAUAACUCCCACGUACAGACCGUACCCGAAACCGACACAGGUGGACUGGUAGAGUAUACCAAGGCGCUUGAGAGAAUGGUGUUGAAGGAACUAGGCAAAAUGCCCCCGUAACUUCGGGAGAAGGGGGCCUUCCCAUCGGGCAACCGGUGGGGAGGGGCACAGACCAGGGGGUGGCGACUGUUUACUAAAAACACAGGGCUCUGCGAAGUCGCAAGACGACGUAUAGGGUCUGACGCCUGCCCGGUGCCGGAAGGUUAAGAGGAGGGGUUCACGCUCUGAAUCGAAGCCCCGGUAAACGGCGGCCGUAACUAUAACGGUCCUAAGGUAGCGAAAUUCCUUGUCGGGUAAGUUCCGACCUGCACGAAUGGCGUAACGACUUCCCCGCUGUCUCCAACACCAACUCAGCGAAAUUGAAAUCUCCGUGAAGAUGCGGAGUUCCCGCGGUCAGACGGAAAGACCCCGUGAACCUUUACUAUAGCUUCGCAGUGGCGUCAGGGUUCGAAUGUGUAGGAUAGGUGGGAGGCUUUGAAGC
rnacentral:ncRNA from 1 species